rnacentral:rRNA from 1 species
AAAAACAUGUCUUUUUGUAAAUAAUAAAAAGUCUAAUCUGCCCACUGAAUUUAUUUAAAGGGCUGCAGUAUAUUGACUGUACAAAGGUAGCAUAAUCAAUAGUCUUUUAAUUGAAGACUUGUAUGAAUGAUUUGAUGAAAUAUAAACUGUCUCUUUACUAAAAAUAAAAUUUAAUUUUUUAGUUAAAAAGCUAAAAUAAUUAUAAAAGACGAGAAGACCCUAUAGAGUUUUAUAUUUAUUUUAUUUAGAAAUUAUUUAUAUAAUUUAAAUAUAUAAUAAUUUAAAUAUUUUAUUGGGGUGAUAGAAAAAUUAAAUAAACUUUUUUUAAAUUUUAACAUUAAUUUAUGAAAUUAUGAUCCAUAAUUUAUGAUUAAAAGAAAAAAUUACCUUAGGGAUAACAGCGUAAUUUUUUUUUUUAGUUCAAAUAAAAAAAAGAGUUUGCGACCUCGAUGUUGGAUUAAGAUAAAAUUUAAAUGCAAAAGUUUAAAAUUUUUGAUCUGUUCGAUCAUUAAAAUCUUACAUGAUCU